rnacentral:rRNA from 1 species
UUAAAGGGCUGCAGUAUAUUGACUGUACAAAGGUAGCAUAAUCAUUAGUCAUUUAAUUGAUGACUUGUAUGAAGGAUUGGAUGAAAUAUAAACUGUCUCUUAAUUAUAUUUAGAAUUUAAUUUUUUAAUUAAAAAGUUAAAAUAAAUUAGAAAGACGAGAAGACCCUAUAGAGUUUUAUAGAUAAAAUUAAUUGAGAUUAUUUGUAAAGAUUAAAUUAAGAUUAAUUUAUUUAUUUUGUUGGGGUGACAGAAAAAUAUGAAAAACUUUUUAUAUGUUUUAAAACAUUAAUAAGUGGUUAAAUGAUCCAGUAUUAUUGAUUAUAAGAAAAAAUUACCUUAGGGAUAACAGCGUAAUUUUUUUUUUUAGUUCAUAUAAAAAAAAAAGUUUGCGACCUCGAUGUUGGAUUAAGAUAAAAUUUAAAUGCAGAAG